UACGGAGGAUCCAAGCGUUAUCCGGAUUCAUUGGGUUUAAAGGGUGCGUAGGCGGAACGAUAAGUCAGUGGUGAAAGCCUGCAGCUUAACUGCAGAACUGCCAUUGAUACUGUCGAUCUUGAGUACAUUUGACGAGGGCGGAAUGUGUCAUGUAGCGGUGAAAUGCUUAGAUAUGACAUAGAACACCAAUUGCGUAGGCAGCUUACUACACGAUCAUUGACGCUGAGGCACGAAAGCGUGGGGAGCAAACAGG
rnacentral:rRNA from 1 species